GGAAGGAUCAUUAUUGAAUGAACUUGGUGUGGUUGUUGCUGGCCCUCUCGGGGGCAUGUGCACACCCACCAUCCUCAUCUCUCCACCUGUGCACCUCUUGUAGACCUGGAUAGACUUUCCGAGGCAACUCGGUCGGAAAGAUUGCUGCGCUCUGUGAGCCAGCUUUCUUUGCAUGUCCAGGCCUAUGUUUUUUCAUAUACCCCUAUAGAAUGUAACAGAAUGUAUCAUUGGGCCUUGUGCCUAUAAACCUUAUACAACUUUCAGCAACGGAUCUCUUGGCUCUCGCAUCGAUGAAGAACGCAGCGAAAUGCGAUAAGUAAUGUGAAUUGCAGAAUUCAGUGAAUCAUCGAAUCUUUGAACGCACCUUGCGCUCCUUGGUAUUCCGAGGAGCAUGCCUGUUUGAGUGUCAUUAAAUUCUCAACCUUAUUAGCUUUUGUUGAUAAUGGAUUGGAUGUGGGGGUUUCUUUUGCUGGCUUCUUCACAGAUAUCAGCUCCCCUUAAAUGCAUUAGCUGGUGCCCCGCGUGGACCAUCUAUUGGUGUGAUAAUUAUCUACGCCGUGGAUGUCUGCAAUCAUAUGGGUUUUGCACUGCUUCUAACCGUCUGUUCAUUCGGACAACACAUGACAAUUUGACCUCAAAUCAGGUAGGACUACCCGCUGAACUUAAGCAUAUCAAUAAGCGGAGGAAAAGAAACUAACAAGGAUUCCCCUAGUAACUGCGAGUGAAGCGGGAAAAGCUCAAAUUUAAAAUCUGGCGGUCUCCGGCCGUCCGAGUUGUAAUCUAGAGAAGUGUUAUCCGCGCUGGACCGUGUACAAGUCUCCUGGAAUGGAGCGUCAUAGAGGGUGAGAAUCCCGUCUUUGACACGGACUGCCAGGGCUUUGUGAUGCGCUCUCAAAGAGUCGAGUUGUUUGGGAAUGCAGCUCAAAAUGGGUGGUAAA
rnacentral:sRNA from 1 species